AGUGAACGCUGGCGGUAGGCCUAACACAUGCAAGUCGAACGGCAGCACAGUAAGAGCUUGCUCUUACGGGUGGCGAGUGGCGGACGGGUGAGGAAUACAUCGGAAUCUACUUUUUCGUGGGGGACAACGUAGGGAAACAUACGCUAAUACCGCAUACGACCUACGGGUGAAAGCAGGGGAUCUUCGGACCUUGCGCGACUGAAUGAGCCGAUGUCGGAUUAGCUAGUUGGCGGGGUAAAGGCCCACCAAGGCGACGCUCCGUAGCUGGUCUGAGAGGAUGAUCAGCCACACUGGAACUGAGACACGGUCCAGACUCCUACGGGAGGCAGCAGUGGGGAAUAUUGGACAAUGGGCGCAAGCCUGAUCCAGCCAUACCGCGUGGGUGAAGAAGGCCUUCGGGUUGUAAAGCCCUUUUGUUGGGAAAGAAAAGCAGCAGGUUAAUACCCCGCUGUUCUGACGGUACCCAAAGAAUAAGCACCGGCUAACUUCGUG
rnacentral:rRNA from 1 species